UACGUAGGGUGCAAGCGUUAAUCGGAAUUACUGGGCGUAAAGCGUGCGCAGGCGGUUUUUGUAAGUCUGUCGUGAAAGCCCCCGGGCUCAACCUGGGAAUUGCGAUGGAGACUGCAAGGCUUGAAUCUGGCAGAGGGGGGUAGAAUUCCACGUGUAGCAGUGAAAUGCGUAGAUAUCUGGAGGAACGACCGGUGGCGAAGGCGGCGAUCC
rnacentral:rRNA from 1 species